rnacentral:lncRNA from 1 species
AAAGCCCUCCUCCCUGUACAAAAUGUGUGUCCAAAUACCUCCCAUCUCUCUGCAGAUUCACUGCUGCCGCCACAAGAAUCUCAUUUUCACUCUGUGGAGACACUGCGCCAAUCAUUCGAAAGGGAUGGUUUCUCCCAUAACCGGCUUCCUAGUGGAGGUCGUUUUAUUGACAUUAAAUUUAGACGUUGAAUCCUAUCCUGCCACUAACCAGCUGUUUACCUUGGCUCAAUCCCAAUCUAUGUCCUUAUUGGUAAAGCAGACAUAGUAAUACCUGCCUUUUUUUUUUUUUUUUUGGUCUUUUCAGGGCCACACCUACGGCAUGUGGAAGUUCCCAGGCUAUGGGUCAAAUCAGAGCUGCAGCUGCCGGCCUACACCACAGCCAGAGCAACACAGGAUCCAAGCCACAGUCUGCGACCUACACCACAGCUCAUGGCAAUGCUGGAUCCUUAACCCACUGAGUGAGGCCAGGGAUCAAACCCGAGUCCUCAUGGAUACUAGUCAGGCUUUUUACGGCCAGGUCACAAUGGGAACUCCAUUAAUACCUGCUUUACGUGGUAAUUACAAGGGUGAAAUGAACCAGCCUGUGUUAAGUGCUAGCCAGUACUGGCCACAAAGUAGUGGUUUGCAUUGGGUCAGAGACCUUGAAAGAACGGAACAGCGGAACAGAACAAGGGGAAGAGGAUCCUUGGAGAAGACAAGCUGGGGUCUGCUGGGGUUUUGUUUUUUUUUUUUGGUUUUUUGUUGUUUUUUAGGGCCACACCUGCUGCAUAUGGAAGUUCCCAGACUAGGGGUCAAAUCGAAGCUGCAGCUGCUGACCUACGCCACAGCCACAGCCACACGGAAUCCGAGCCACGUCUGCAACCGACACCAUAGCUCACAGCAACGUGGAUCCUUAACCCACUGAGUGAGGCCAGGGAUCGAACCCCCAUCCUCAUGGAUACUAGUUGGGUUCUUAACCAGCUGAUCCACGGCUGGAACCCCAUGGGUCUGAUGUUUAUUAAAAGGAAGGUCUGCUGGGUGUCAGCAAGGGGGCCUUCAACAGGGAAGAAACGCCCCGAGUAAGGGGAAGCGGGGGAUGGCGCUGCCUGACUUCCUGCUGACCCAACUGCAGGGUACCACAUGCCUUCACCCCAGGACCUGCACCUGCCGUCGGAGUCCACCUCUGGGACUCCAGGGGCAGCCCCUCGCCUCCCACACCUGGCUCUCCGCAGGCGCGGCCAGACCCGAGUGCACACCACACCGUUGCCCAGGGCCCUUCAGACACAAACGCCUGUGCUCAGCGCAACGGAAAGAAACCUUCCUGCCUUGCGGGGCGGAGAAUGAGCUCCGUAGCUGCCUCCACCACACAGGGCAGCUUUGUCCUGCCUGGGAAACGUGCUGCCCCACAGGAUGCUGUGUGGCCGCAGGGGUGGGACAGGUGGCAGCCACCGCCCUGGAGAACAGCCCUUCCUCUUGCCUCUAAACCCACAGCUCCAGCAAGCACAGCGGGCUGGGGGCUGAGCCUGCGGGGAAGGCCCUCUCCCUGGAGACAAGCCCCAGCCUCCUGGUAAACGAGCAGGAAACGGAACUCUGGGGCCCUGCACACAGCUGUGCUCAGCUCCCUCGCUCUGACCCGGCAUCUCCCCAGAGGCAACCUGUGCCCAGAAACGCUCCCCUGACCCCACGAAGCCCUCCAUCACCCCGCCUCCCCGGGCCUGACUGCCCCUGUGCUUCCUGGAACUUAGGGGCCACUGCAUGGGCGUUUCUGGUUUGUAUUUCAUGGAGGCGAAAUUCACGUCACAUAAAAUCAAGCAUUUUAAAGGGAGCAGUUCAGUGGCAUUUAGAACCACGACGAUAUUGUGCGACCACCACCUCUACCUAGUUCCAAAACUCGUUCAUCACCCCAGAAUAACCCCCCAAAAGCAGUUACUCCCCAAUCCCCAGCCCCAGCCCCUGGCAACCACCUGUUUCGGUGGAUUCGCCUAAUUCUAGACAUUUCAUACAAAUGGAAUCACACAACAGUGACAGUUUGGGUAGAUCUGCUUUCACUUGGUAUAAAGUUUUGGCGCGUGUAUCGCUGCUUCGUUCCUUUUUACGGAUGACGCUUCCAUAGCAUGUAUAGGCCCCCAUCUGUUUUACGUUUAUCCCUUUUUGUUUGUUUUUCUUCUUUUUUCAGCCAUGCCUGCAGCACAUGGAAGUUCCCGGACCAGAAAUUGAGCCUGAGUCACAGCAGUGACGACACCAAAUCCUUAAACACUAGGCCACCAGGGCACUCUCCAUUCAGCCCGUGAUGGAUGCUUGGCUUCCCUUUUGGCUCUGGGAAUAGUGCUGCAGUGAGGCGCAGAUGCACAUUUGCGUCCCUGCUUGCAGAUCUUUGGGGUCUAUACCUUGAGGGGAGUUGCUGGGUCAUAGGGUCAUAGGGUCAUUUCUCCGCAUUCUUCGUUUUGCUGUCCAGCGCGCAGCCGUUCCGAUGGGGGUGAGCUCGUGUGUGGAAAGGGGACCUGCAUCCCCCUCCUGACUAGUGAUGCUGAGCAUCUCCUCGUGGGCUUGUUGGCCAUUCGUGUAUCUUCUUUGCGGGGAGUGUCUGUUCAAGUUCUUUGCCCGUUGUUUCUAAACCGAACCUUCUGUCUUCUUGUUGUCGAGUGGAAAGCAUUGUUGCAUAUCCUGAAUGAAUUCCUGUGCCUUUACUGCUGCUCUUAACACAUCUCAAUUUCUUACGUGUUUGCCUCCUCUGCUAGGUGGAGCAUGCCUUAAGAGCAGGGCCUGUACCUUUAAAAAAAAAAAUUCUUAGGGAGUUCCCGUUGUGGCUCAGCGGGUUAAGAAGCCAACUAGGGAGUUCCCGUCGUGGCGCAGUGGUUAACAAAUCCGACUAGGAACCAUGAGGUUGCGGGUUCGAUCCCUGCCCUUGCUCAGUGGGUUAAGGAUCUGGCGUUGCCGUGAGCUGUGGUGUAGGUUGCAGACUUGGCUCGGAUCCCGCGUUGCUGUGGCUCUGGCGUAGGCCGGUGGCUACAGCUCCGAUUCAACCCCUAGCCUGGGAACCUCCAUAUGCCGUGGGAGCAGCCCAAGAAAUGGCAAAAAAAG